CCCUUAGAUGUCCUGGGCCGCACGCGCGUUACACUGAUGCAUUCAACGAGCUUAUAACCUUGGCCGAGAGGCCUGGGCAAUCUUGUUAACGUGCAUCGUGAUAGGGAUAGAUUAUUGAAAUUAUUAAUCUUGAACGAGGAAUUCCUAGUAAGUACAGGUCAUCAACUUGUGUUGAUUACGUCCCUGCCCUUUGUACACACCGCCCGUCGCUCCUACUGAUUGAAUGUCUCGGUGAAUUAUUUGAUCUUCUGUCGAUUCAGUUCACUGAUCCGACGGUGGAAAGUUGAAUGAACUUCGUCACUUAGAGGAAGGAGAAGUCGUAACA
rnacentral:rRNA from 1 species